rnacentral:rRNA from 1 species
UGGGGAAUAUUGCGCAAUGGGCGAAAGCCUGACGCAGCGACGCCGCGUGAGGGAAGAAGGCCUUCGGGUCGUAAACCUCUGUCUAGAGGGAAGAAACCAUUGAGGUCGAACAGGCCUCUUUGCUGACGGUACCUCUGAAGGAAGCACCGGCUAACUCCGUGCCAGCAGCCGCGGUAAUACGGAGGGUGCGAGCGUUAAUCGGAAUCACUGGGCGUAAAGCGCACGUAGGCGGUGUCGUAAGUCGGAUGGGAAAGCCCUCGGCUCAACCGGCGAACUGCAUUCGAUACUGCGAUGCGUGAGGGCCGGAGAGGGUGGCGGAAUUCCAGGUGUAGGAGUGAAAUCCGUAGAUAUCUGGAGGAACACCAGUGGCGAAGGCGGCCACCUGGCCGGCAACUGACGCUGAGGUACGAAAGCGUGGGGAUCAAACA